rnacentral:tRNA from 1 species
AGGAUAAUAGUUAAAUUUUUAACAUUUAAGUUGCAUUUAAAAAAUAUUGAUACCAAUUUAUCUUA